rnacentral:lncRNA from 1 species
CAGAAAGUCCUUGUCUGGCUCACAGAAGGAAUUUGUCCUAGGUAACGUAUGCAUCUGGCACUGUCACUCACCCCUUCUACAGAGAGAAACUUCACUGUAAUCCUUACCAAGUUCAGUCAACGCCCUCAAAGAAAAGCCAAGGAAAUUGUGCCUCAGCUGGUGGGUGCCGUGUGUGAUUGGACUCUGUGGGUACUUCCGAUCCUCCAGCCCGAGUCUGCUUUCUCAGCGCUUCCAGCAGAGCCCAGGCCUGGGAGCAUUUGCCACACUUGAGGAUUCUCAGAGCAACCAGCAGUGUGGAGUGAGACAGCGCUACAUGCUGGGCAGGGGCCAGGUGCUCAGGACUGAAAGAUGAGAAGACAAAGUGGCUUUCUCCAAAGAACUCAGGGUCUGAGGAGUGCUGCAGAUAACGCGAGCAGGGCGACUGCAACAUGGCUAUUACUUGUAAAAAAAAAGGCACAUGUGAUCUUAGAGAUCUUGGGCUUCACCCAGAGUCACACCCUUCGCCGCUUCCCCUCUGUCCACGCCGGAGCCUUUCAACUGCCUCUCCUGUCUUGCUUUGCAGGAUGUCUCUUUGCUUGGCUUCAAGCUUGGUCUUUCCUUCUGCCUAGCAUCUUGUUUUCCGCUGAGUGGGAUUUCUUCUUUCCCUAACAUUCUGCUUCUCGUCAGGGCUCAGCCUUGGCCUUAUUUCUUGUCUCUGUGGUGAAAGGAAUGAGAACAAGAGAUCCAAUCAUGAAAAAUCCAUCCACUGAACAGGGCUUAGGUGCUGGCGAAAUGUCAGACGCUGGACGUGGAGAGGGCCGGUUAGCCACAGCAGCUGCCACAGCGGGACGCCCAGGGACUUUGGCGCUGCCUCUGCCUACCCAAGCAUCUGCUGGUCUAAAUCUUGAGGAAACCAUAGGCGCAUCCUCACCGGCUGCCCUUGGGUCGCUCUGUAGCAGACCUGGGCUGUUCAACAUAAAGCGCCUGCAGCCUGGAGCAUUUUUCUGUUUGCUUGCAUCCUCGUGAUGAAGUCCAGCAUGCUCCGCUGUCCUGCGUAUUUCCUGAGAAUCGGCAGCUGCAUCAGACUCAGGUUUGAGUCCCCGAUCCGUGAGGAGAUGUGGGUGUCUUUUGCUUUGAUUUGUUGAUGUGCUGGCAACGGCAAAAGUGUGGCCUUCCAAUUCUGCCCUUCAGUUUUCACACAGUAGCUGAGCUAUUUUUAUUAAGAAGAUUCUUCUUUCACCGAUGUAGUUACCCAGGGUGCUGCAGUUUAUAUCGGCAAGGUGAGAUAAAUAUUUGCUUCUAGCCCUUUGUUUUUGAAAUAACCAAGUGGUUCCAUAAACCCCUCUGAAAGUGGUCAAUAUCAUAUUUUUUUUUUGGUACCAGGGAUUGAACUUGGGACCUUGCACUUGCGAGGCAGGCGGCGGAACAACUGAGUUAAAUCCCGG